rnacentral:rRNA from 1 species
AUUGAACGCUGGCGGCAGGCCUAACACAUGCAAGUCGAGCGGUAACACAGAGGAGCUUGCUCCUUGGGUGACGAGCGGCGGACGGGUGAGUAAUGCCUGGGGAUCUGCCCGAUAGAGGGGGAUAACUACGGGAAACUGUAGCUAAUACCGCAUAACGUCUACGGACUAAAGUGGGGGCUCUUCGGACCUCAUGCUAUCGGAUGAACCCAGGUUGGAUUAGCUAGUUGGUGAGGUAAUGGCUCACCAAGGCGACGAUCUCUAACUGGUUUGAGAGAAUGACCAGUCACACUGGAACUGAGACACGGUCCAGACUCCUACGGGAGGCAGCAGUGGGGAAUAUUGCACAAUGGGCGCAAGCCUGAUGCAGCCAUGCCGCGUGUGUGAAGAAGGCCUUCGGGUUGUAAAGCACUUUCAGCGGGGAGGAAGGGUCACUAGUUAAUACCUAGUGGCAUUGACGUUACUCGCAGAAGAAGCACCGGCUAACUCCGUGCCAGCCGCCGCGGUAA